UUCCAGCACCUAACCCUGAGUAUGGCACAUGGCAGACAUUCAAGAAAUACUUUUCCACAAAUGAACAAAUGAAUGAAAUCUCAUGUGUCUAAAUUCUUUAUUGUGGGAACUGGCUCACUUCUGCUUCUACAAUGAAGAUUCAAUCACUGGCAUGGUAUAGGAGGAGGAGGACAGGCUAAGACACAGUGGCAUGAUUAUAGUUCGCUGCAGCCUCCAACUCCUGGGCUCAAGUGAUCCUCCCACCUCAGCUUCCCAAGUAUCUGGGACUACAAGUACAUACCACCACACCUGGCUAAUGUUUAAAUUUUGUGUAGAGAAAGGGUCUUGAUUUGUUGCCCAGGCUGGUCUCGAACUCCUGGCCUCAAGUGAUCCUCCUGCUUUGGCUUUCCAAAGUGCUGGGAUUACAGGCAUGUGCCACCAUGCCCAGCCUUGACCUCCUUCUAUUUUUAUUUAUUUUUUUUUUUUUGAGACAGGGUCUCACUGAGUUGCCCAAGCUGGAGUAUAGUGAUGUGGUUACAGCUCACUGCAGCCUCAGGUGAUUUUUCCCCACCUUAGCCUCCAGAGUAGCUGGGACCACAGGCACACACCACCACGCCUGGCUAACUUUCUAUAUUUUUUAUAGUGAUGGAAUUUCACCAUGGUGCCCAGGCUGGUAUCCUGAGCUGAAGAGAUCCUCCUGCCUCAGCCUCCUAAAGUGCUGGGAUUACAGGCAUGAGCCACUGCUCCCAGCCGACCUUUUUUUUUUUUUUUUUUGAGAUGGAGUGUUGCUCUUGUUGCUCAUGCUGUGAUUUUGGCUCACUGCAACCGCUGCCUCCCGAGUUCAAGUGAUUCUCCGCCUCAGCCUACCAAGUAGUUGGGAUUACAG
rnacentral:lncRNA from 10 species